UACGAAGGGGGCUAGCGUUGUUCGGAAUUACUGGGCGUAAAGCGCGCGCAGGCGGCUAUCCAAGUCAGUGGUGAAAGCCCGGAGCUCAACUCCGGAACUGCCAUUGAAACUGUUUAGCUUGAGGACGAGCGAGGUGAGUGGAAUUCCCAGUGUAGAGGUGAAAUUCGUAGAUAUUGGGAAGAACACCGGUGGCGAAGGCGGCGACCUGGUCCUUGACUGACGCUGAGGCGCGAAAGCGUGGGGAGCAAACAGG
rnacentral:rRNA from 1 species